AAGGGUGCGUAACACGUGGGCAAUCUGCCGAGAAGUGGGGGAUAGCUCGCCGAAAGGCGAAUUAAUACCGCAUGUGGUUAGGGAAGACAUCUUUCCGACACCAAAGCCGGGGCAACCUGGCGCUUCUUGAUGAGCCCGCGGCCUAUCAGCUAGUUGGUGAGGUAACGGCUCACCAAGGCUAUGACGGGUAGCUGGUCUGAGAGGACGACCAGCCACACUGGAACUGAGACACGGUCCAGACACCUACGGGUGGCAGCAGUCGAGAAUUUUUCUCAAUGGGGGAAACCCUGAAGGAGCGACGCCGCGUGGAGGAUGAAGGUCUUCGGAUUGUAAACUCCUGUCAUUAGGGAACAAUGUGCGGUUAUUAACUGUAAUCGUAUUGAUAGUACCUGAAGAGGAAGAGACGGCUAACUCUGUGCCAGCAGCCGCGGUAAUACAGAGGUCUCAAGCGUUGUUCGGAUUCAUUGGGCGUAAAGGGUGCGUAGGUGGCGCCAUAAGUCAGGUGUGAAAUCUCGGGGCUCAACCCCGAAACUGCACUUGAUACUGUGGUGCUCGAGUACUGGAGAGGAGAUUGG
rnacentral:rRNA from 1 species